CGGCAUGAUGCACUUGUUCAGCCAAAGCUAGCGAUGGCCAUGACCUGAACAACCACAGGCAAAGGAAGAAGAGCAAAACCAACAGCUCACACACCAAAGGCAGAAAUCCCACAGCAAUUCCCUUUGGGCAUUACUUUCUCAAUAUAUCGAUCCCACCGGGUGGUCAGUAAGAGUAGACACGGUUGGCAGAGCCAGGAGCCCUCUGUGGCGGAGCUUCCUCUGGCUUUCCACCCCAGAGAAGGUGCCCAGGUGUCCCACGCACUCAGCGUCCUGGAGAAGACCUGGCAGAGUGGAUCUAUAAGCCACAUCCAUUUUGCACUCCCACACACUUCCCAGUGUCUGGUCAAGCUGAUUUGACAACUGUUGUUUCUGGAUGUGGACUGGAAGAUAGAGACACCUCCAGCUGGCUGGAGCCUUCAGCGAUCCCAAGAUCACUACUUUCUCCCCAGCUCUCUUUCUCAAAGACUUGAGGAAGCUGCAGAGAUUCAGAGGUGUUUUUUUUCCUUUCUUGAAAGCACAGCUAAAAAUAAAAAGAAAAUUAAAACUGAGCCCAGCCCACAACGCAGAGUGUGUAGGUGUGAUGCUAACCAACACCUGGGGCUGUGAAGCACCCUGGGGGAGCUGACACCUGAACCCUCUUACACCAUCUGGCAGACAUUCUCUUUCUCUUCAUUCUCUCUUUGGCACCUUUUCAGAAAGUGCACAAGAUGAUGACUCCAAAGUUGUUUUGUCUUGUUUGAAAAUGUCCUGUACAAUGUAGGAGAAGGGACCAAGGAGAGGACAGUGGUUUUCCUUUGUAAAUUCAUAUGGAGCCCAGCAGUUGACACGCUGGGACCCAAGAGCUGCUGCUGUCCCUGGCUGAAGGUUUCUUGAGGUGGCUGGCAGAAAACAGCUAUGGCAGACAGGGCCUUGUGGUGGCAAUCAGGCUGUCUCUGAGUUUUUGACCUGGGCAGGUGUAAAUGCUCAUGCUAUCAUCACCGCUGCUGCAGUGACCAGCUGCCAAAACAAGCAUCAGCUGCCCUCUCCUCACCACCUUCCCAUCUCCAAAGCUGUUGGCAGGACUGGGAACUGCUAGGAAAGGACAUGCCCUGCGAGCAAGCUGAGUUGAGGAGCAGCGAAGCUGUAAGGAGAGCUGAGAAAACCCAGCCAGCAUCUGCUAAAAUCCUGGUGCCCACUUCAUCCCUGCUCAGCACACAGGAGCCGCAGGGAUUUGUAUGUAUUAUCCUUACAGGUGACCCUAGGCCACCAGGUCGGCUUCACAGAGGCUGCUGGGAAGUGCCUUGUCCCCAGCUAAGCUUCUUUCCCUGUUGGCAUGUCGUAGGAGGAUGAGAUUAGUGUUUUCUGCUGCACGAUGUCAGCUGAGGGAUGAGAACGGCACACCAAGAGGAGGAGAGCUGCUGUGGGUGAAGACCAUCCCUUUCAAACACGAAGCACAGCAAGUCCAAACCAGCACAUUUCCCUCCUCUCCUUGGGGAUCAGACUGCAGUAGUGAGAAGACAAAUGGAGCCAGUCCCCGGUGCUAAACUACAAAACCACAGUUCUCAGCAAAGCCCUUCGAGCCAGCCCAUCCCCCAGCAGUGUCGCUGCCCCUUGCUUUUGACUGAGGUCUGGAAAUAUCAGCAGGGGCUGGCUGUUGCCUGUAUCCCACGUGUUGCCACUGUCCUGCUGGGUGACAUCAGGCAAGGGCUGUCAGGGCUCAGCAUGGCAGAUAUGAUCUUCCAAGCCCAGCAUCCCCAUUUGAUCCGAGGACACCCAUGGCACCGUGGUGGGCUUGACUCCACCAUGGCACAGGCUCCAGCGAUCCCAAAAGAUAAGCUGUUUCAGCCUGUCCUUCAGGAGCCUCUCUGAAGCCUCCCGAGAUGGUGCCUGCAUGGCUUUAAUGCUGUCUGUUCAGCUCUUGCCGGAACAACUUCCGUGUCUUCAUCUGGAACCUGAGACAAAGGAAAGAAUUGUUUGUAAUGAGCUAUUUAUGGAGAAAUUCAUCUUGAGAUUUGCAUCACCACUACAAGAAAAGUCGGCGCCACAACUUUCCUGCUGUGGUUAAGGACAGCUCUCAGCGGUCGGGAGCCUCCAGGUCCUGUGAGCAGUAAGAACAUGUUUCAGCAUUGUUUGUUUGCAGGAGAAGAGACCAAUUUGCAUUGCUGGAAAUGGAAUGAUGUAGAGAACCACAAGAACCCGUCAUUCUGGUCAGGCCCUUGGAUUUUGUCAGGAUUUUUUGAAUACUCUUUCGCAGUUAAAACUCCCACUAGGUUGUCUUGCUGCUAGCAAAGCUGAUUGGGAUUGUGAAGGGGCAGGUAGGCUGGCAAGCAGGCUUUCCCCAAAGCUUCAAACUAGAUUCAAUUAGCCCACUUCAGCUGCAGGAACAUGGUUAGCUGGCAGCCAAGUCCCCAUGGAGGGGUUAGAUAACACUCAACGGCUUAGUCACACUGGAGAAGUAAAUGUCUCACAACUUGCUGAGACAAAUUCCUCCCUGUUUUAAUUAAAUGUGAGCUCCCAGAGUGCCUAAAGCUCUACUGGUCUCUGGUUGCCCCUGCGCCAAUCCAGUCGUGCCAUUCAAGUCUCCAAAUCUUUGUCCUCACUUGCACCACAAGCAAGCUCUGUUUUCAUUCACCAUUGUUUCAGUGCCUGGUGGCUACCUAGAGGGAUGAUGAUAAAAUAAGGAUUUUACUGCUUGGUACUCUGCAAUUAACUGGAAAAUACAGAUUUUUUUUUUUUUUUUAAUCCCAGCCUUCUUGAAAGCAAAGCAAUGGAUGCUCACAUCCCAGGACUUCACCAGUAGAGUCAGAGCUUUUCCUUGGCCCCGAGGAUGGAGCAGGGACCACUUAGCAGGAGCUGCUGGUGUACUAGGUGCUGAAUGAAGGAGCCCUUGACACUUAAGGCAGUGUCAUUCCUUUGGUUUUUGCCGUGUUGUAAAAUCAGGUGCAGAGUGCAUGUGCCCAGAGGCACUGGUCUGAACCUGAUUGCAGACAGCCGGCUGCCAGCUAUGGGCCAUGACGCUGGCCUUGCUGCAAGUCUGUGCCGGGUUCUGCCUACUCGAUAGCAGAGUGAAGGCAAAGAGGGCCAGGAACAAGAGGAGGGGACGAGGAGCUUUAAUACAUGAUGUGAGUCCAGUCUACUACAAGCAGGAGGAGAGACAGCAGAUCGAUGGAGAGAUGCAGUUCUCGGCGUUUCUGUGCAGCAAGCUGCUCCUCACAAGCCAGAUUUUUAACUGAUGAUGCCUCUGAAUAGGCAGUGAGUGCUGGUUUAAAAUAAAGCUUGACAAAUGGCAUGUUGGGGGCGUCAAGUCCUAGAGCACUGUCUUCCGAAAACUAUGCAAAAGGCACCAGAGGGGAGCCUGGCACAGCCUCCUAGAUGACAGUAAUUAAAGGCUUUUGCGCUCAGGCACUGGGAGCUGCUCCUCUUGCAAAUUGGCAUUGAUUGGAGAGGAAGAGAAUGAUUAGAUUGGAGGAGAGUGAUGGGGGCGUCAGGAGAAAACACAGAGGUUUGUCUCUUCUACGACUGGUGGGCAG